AUUAUUUUAAUUGCAAAAUGUUUGCUUUUCAGUUCCAUUUACUGGGUCAAAUCUUUGCUCAAGCAAGUGCCCACGUCAGCCGCUCAAGAACUGCAUAUAGCCCAUUAAAAGAGCAUUUAAUCCUCCGCUCUUAGGGAGGGUUCAGUGUCUUAUAUGCUAAUAUUCAUUACGCUGGGAGGAAAUCCCCCAGGACGCAGCCUGGCAAAGUUCCCUUGAAAGCAGAGGAGAGAUGCCAGUUCAGAGUGGGGGAAGAUCGGAUCUGUUGGCUCUGUUAAUAUCGGUGUGAUGAGCUUCUGACAAAGGCAGUAAGGGACAUUGGCUCCCAACUGCAAGUCUGUCUGAAUUUGAAGUCCUCCCUGGACUGGUGUUUUACAUGCUUCCUCCAAAGCUUUCGCCCUUGCACACUAGAAGUGUACUCCCACGACAUCUAAUAUUAAUGCUUGUCUCUGAGCCAAGAAAGAAAUGUUUCUGCCCAGCCUCCCUCUUAGAUUUACAAUGUCAAAAUCUCCUUGUCUCCCACUGGUUUUACCACCAGUGUGAGCUACGAGGCACGCUGAGUGCUGGCCCGGAGCAGGUCUCAGGCUGAGCACAGGCUGGCUGCGAAGGUGAGAUUUUCACCCACCUCCCCGUUCCCUCGAGCCCGUCCCGCAGACCUGCCAAGCACACCGCACCCGCCCGGGCAGCAGCACCAGAUCCGACAUCACCCUGAGAGCAUCCAUGGUGGAUCGAGGGCUGGAGGUGCGGGCUGGGCUUCCAGCCGAUCCCCUGUGCGGCAGGUUUCCACUUUUCUUCUCCGAAGCUGUCCGGCCUCAAUGUGUGCAGCUGGAGGGAUGCCCCCGCCAGCACUCAGAGGGACAAAACCGGAGCCGAAAGAGAGCCAGAAGGACAUCUUCUCUGCUAAGGUCAUACGUCUGCAGAACCUGGCGCUAGGCAAAGGUGCAUCUGGAAACACGGUGGCUGCGAUGACUCACUGCAUGAGGAAAUGGUGUCACUGCAGCAGGUCUGCUCCCUCACCUCCGACGCUGCUCCCAGCUCUAACACGCAUUUUUACCUUUUACUACCAAAAGUUUCAGACCAAGCCCCCCAAGAGCUGAAGCCCGAGUGUAACUCAGGUUCUGCAUAUGGGUCUGUUGGCAUCAAAGGAGCCAAGCGUGGCGAGCCCAUCCCUAUGUCCAGCCUGGGAUGUCAGCAGAAGAGCAGUGUGAGUGGUACCCGGGGCAGGCAAGGAUUACAGUGCAACACGUGGGUAGGAGUUUGCUAGCCCCAUGGUUUUUCUAUUCUUAUUUCUGUUCCCCUUGAACUCCCAGUCAACACCUUGGUGCAUAAAGGUAAUUCAUUAACCUGCAAGAAUGAUGUGGCCUAAACUUUCCCCUAGUCACUGCAACAGCUCACGGUCAUGCCGGUGUGUCGGGGACAGGCUCCCGGAGCAGUGCCAGCAACGCAGGGGAUGUGUACAUAGCUCCGCACCCUCCGAGCAGGGGCUCAGGGAGAGGGAGGGUUCCAGAGGGAUGAGGGAAUGGUGCAAAGUCCAGGAGAGCCCAGAGGCUAGCCUCAGAGUAUGGUCAGGGAAAGGACAACACACACCCCAGUUCACCUCGCUCGUACCUCCUGGAUUUCCCCGGUGGGGCAAUCCCCACCGCCCAAGAGAAAGUGCUGUGUAACCGUCAGGCUGAUGACAUAGAGGCACUGCUGCUUUGCAGCGUAAAAGCCAGCGAUGGGUUUUCUGAAGAGCAGGGAGCUGGUGUCGGUGGCGUUAGAUGUGUAAGACGGUACCAGGAGGUAUUUUGUUCCCCUCACAGGAAGGAGGGGUUUAGUGGACUCAUGGUGUUGGGUUUGGGACUCCAGACCAGACUGGGAGGACAAGUGCUACCGUGGUGGGACCAGCCAGGCUGUACCCCAUGGGAACGCCGAGGCAGGGCAGGUUGUGACAGGGUUGUGAGCGCUUGUGCAAGGCCAGGGAUAGUGCCAGAGCUGGAAGUGCAAUGAGAGGAGCCCUGAGCUCCACACCACCCGCAGGGCUGCAAAGUUCCCCAUGGGGCUGGAGUAAGCUCGUUCCCUCUCCAGUCCUUGCUUUGCCCAUCAGAAGGCAGCAGAAGUCAGUCCCAGCCAGGGCUGUGAGCAGACACCAGGAUUUCUACCUGACUCCGGGCACACGAGUGUCACCCAGGUUCCCCAAUGGAGAGGAGACAACUCAUCUAGCAGAAACGCUGUGACCGACCCAGCUUUCACGUAGCAGUGAACGGGCACUUUCCCUCUGGUCCUGGAGGACCCCGGGCUCAGUGAGGCUGCUGGAGGCCGUGCUAGCCCAGCACACUGCAGGGAGCCUUCAGCUGCUUUAUUCAUAGAAAUCCACCCUGCACAACAGCUCUGGACCUGCUGCCUCCCUGGCACCAGCCCAGAGAGGGUCUGUGCUCCGAGCAAACGAGCAGGUCAGCAAAGGCACCGCAGCCAAUGUCGCAGAGGGAGCGAUAACAUCUAGAUCAGCCAGUUGGUAGCAGAGAAAUCAAGUCAUUGGAGCAGGACAUCGUCACGUGCCCAGUUCUUCCUGCCGUACAAAUGAACACUGCGGUUUGGAUCCUGCAUCUUAUUUUCCAUAAACAUACCAGAUUUUGCAUCCCAGAUUUGCAGGAGAGCACUGCUGAGAUGGUGCUUUGAGCUCAAGUAUCAGCCUUAAAUCUGAGCUUUACUGAGACUUAGUCCCAGGUACAAAGCCUUCAACACUCAGUAAGUUCUAUAUGUGCACAAAAAUCGGUUGGAUCAGGAUUCUUAUGGCACACAGUGAACUAACUCGUCUGUUAUUUCUGAAUUCCUCUUUUUUUCCUUUUUUGCUUUGUUUUGAUUUUGAUUUAUUUUUCUGCUAUCAUAGGAAGCAGCUCAGAGAUGGGUUGUGACAUACCCUGGGCUAAUUCAGUGGAAAGCUUAUUUUCAAAAGGAAACAUUUGCCAUCUUGCUCCCAGCUUUGAUUUGCCUGUCCCUGCUCGCUUGCCAGAGCUUAUUCUGCGGCAUUAAUAGGAAAGUUUCUUUGCACGGAGCCAACCAGCUAUUGUGCCCAAGUGAUUUUCUUCAAGGAAUAAAAAGCACAUUCACUUUGUGCUCGAGGAGAUGACAUUUGUUUGAUUGGUGUGUUUGAGAGCUCGGUGGGGAAUACAGCAGAGAGAAAACAUUCUUGUGAGGAGCUAUUUCAAAAGAAAAGAAACAAGAAUCCAGGAGAGAUAAGAAAAUGAAUGUCUGCAAAAUCUGGGAAAGCCUCGUGCAGAGGGAUGGAGACAAAGUACGAGAAUGCACUUUAUUUGUGACAAGCUUUCCAUCCUGGGCAGCCAAACAGGACAUCCUGCUUCAGUUCUCCUUCCUCUCUUUAAUUAGAGUUGCGUUCAGGACACUGCCGUUAAUGUCGUCUCAGCAUUUCCAUGACAAAGCCCUGUUUUUGCGGGACUUUAGGAACUUGGCCCUAGAAAAAUCUGUUAUUAGCAUAGGACUGCUCAGGCUGGAGACUGUGACAGGUUUGCAGCCAGUUGCUGCGACAUUUCCAUCACAGCUCAGAGCGAGGUGGCCCUGUCCGGGCCGUGGGAGCAGUGGAGGAGACCGAACCCCAUCUCCGGACGCAGUGGGGUUAGCGGUGGGCUGUGCACCCCAGCCCGUGCCCGAGCAAACGUCGCUGUUUCAGAUCUGAAAUGUGGCACUGAAAAAACAACACCCACAUUUCCGAAUCUAUAAGUCAUUGUGGAAACCUCUGUGUUCAAAUAAUUUUAAAAAGCCUGAAAAGGAGACCGAAUUCUCCAGCGAUGGUAUUUUUGCUACCUGGAAUUAGGGCCUGGUUACAGGCCCCCUGGUUGAACUUGCCCCAGAAAUUGGGACCCCUAAAAAUGACUGCAGGAAGAACAGAUCCUCACGGUGUAGCGCACCCUGCCCUCCCCAGCCCGGGGACAUGCUGCCGCAGCUUCCCGCGCCUCCCUGACCUCUGCGGCCGCUGCAAUUUCACGCUGAGCCGUGACACGGAGCAGCGGUGACAGAAAUCACUCGCUUUCCCGCUGGCUUCUUAAUUGCUGCUCUUCCCCUUCGCUUGGGGUGGGCAGCUCAGCUCUCGCAGGGCUGAGGCUAUCGUCGCUGCUCAAUCCCACGCGUUGGAGAAGCUGCUGCAAAUGGUGCCUUGUCAAACCUGCUGUUUGCAACAGCAAAGCAAAUGAGACCAAACGGGGUUGUAAAAGUAAUCAAAGAGGGGCUGAAACCACAGCGGGGCCGUGUGGGA